rnacentral:rRNA from 1 species
AGAUUGAACGCUGGCGGCAUGCCUAACAUAUGCAAGUCGAACGGGAGUAGCAAUACUCUAGUGGCGGACGGGUGAGGAAUACGUAGGAAUUUGCCCUUAAGUGGGGGAUAACCCGGGGAAACCCGGAUUAAUACCGCAUGACCUCGAAAGAGCAAAGUGGGGGAUCGCAAGACCUCACGCUUUUGGAGAAGCCUACGUCGGAUUAGCUAGUUGGUGAGGUAAUGGCUCACCAAGGCGACGAUCCGUAACUGGUCUGAGAGGAUGAUCAGUCACACCGGAACUGAGACACGGUCCGGACUCCUACGGGAGGCAGCAGGUGGGAAUAUGGACAAGUGGGCGCAAGCCUGAUCCAGCAAUGCCGCGUGUGUGAAGAAGGCCUUCGGUUGUAAGCUACGUUUAAGUGGGAAAGAAAAACGUCGACGUCUAACACGUAGUGAAGUUC